rnacentral:lncRNA from 1 species
AAUCAAUUCUAGUUAGUUGAAAAAACCAACUGAAUUAUUGAUUUGUCCUCCAUUGUGGCGAUCGAACCUUUAUCUCUUGGGAUAGAGAGACACGAGGCCAAUGCCCUUUGGUAAUUAAUGAUUUUUCUAGAACGAUUCAUUCUUAUAAAACACGUGUUUAUUAUCUAAUAACUAAAAUUAUCUAAUAAUUAAAAUUAAUUCAUGGUAGGUGUGCACUCGUUAUUACAUUUGACUUUCAUUUUGUUGUUGUCCCGUCAUUUCUAGCUGCAAAUAUUUUUUUGUUUUAUUUUUUUAUUAUUUUUUUAUUUUUAUUUAUUUUUAAUUUUUAAAUUUUUUUUUUCUGAGAAACGGCAAUUUAUCCGAACGAAACAAGCAAAAGCACUAGCCCCUUAGCCAGUAGUUAGAGAAAAGAAAAGACAGCCAGCACCAAGCUACAAACAAACAAGAACAUCACUCAAAACUAAACUUGCACCAAUCUGCACAUUCCAAAGUAGAGGUGUGAAAAAAAUGAAUUAUCCGAUAAAACCGAACCAAAUUAACAACCGGUGGGUCGAUAAUUGAUUGUUUUGAAAACCGAAAGUAGUGGGUCGGUUAUGGUUACCAAUGUUUCAAUUGGUUAAACGUUUCUUAAAAUUUAUGAGUUAUAUCAUAUCGUUUUGUGAUAAUCGGUAUUGAUAUUAUAGAUUAUAGUAAUUUUUUAAUACUAUGUAAUACAUAAAUAUAUACAAAAGUGCAAUUACAAUUUAUUUC